GAACGACCAGGGGGAAAACCACACACACAAACCCAAAGACCUCUCUGUGCAAUGAAACAAAUGCAGGGUUUUAAAGUUAUCUGAGACCAUAGUCCAAUAAAAGUAUAGCCGCUUCGGGAAGCUUUUGGCUGGAGGAGCAGAUCUAAAUCCAAGAUCAAAAUUAAUAAUAAUUGAAAUGGUGUAAAAAGAAAGGGGGGGGGGGAGGAGAGGAGAAACUGAACAUUUUAAGGGCAACAUUAAAUAGGGCAUAUGAGAAUUGUGAACGGCUCCAAAAGCUGAGCAGCCAAACCUUCUUUGAGAGAAAGAGCUCCUUUCGUUGUUCCGAACAAACAGCCCCAAAAGACCCCAGCCCAAAGCGAUGCGAAGGGAGCCCCAGAUGAACAGCAGGGAGGAAAGGGAGCCUUGCGGGACGCAGGGAAGGGAGGAGACAUUCGGGUUCCUCCGCUCCACGUUCAGCCGGCACCGGCUGGGAAAAGGAUGGGCUCAUGGGGGAGGUCCGUGCUGCAACGAAGGGGCCAGAGAGACCGGAGCAAAAGGGGCUCCCCAGCCCUUGAACUGCGGCCUGGCCGGGGCUCUCUAGCAUCGCCUCUCUCCCCGGCCCACCCAAGCUGCCUCCCCGAUUUCUCCGACCCCGAGGUCUGCAAAGACGCCUCUCCCUAACCCACCCCUCACCGCUGGCCAGUCUUUCCUCUGCGUGUGAUCCUGACCUAAUGGAUUUCGCUGCAGCCCUUUCCACGCGGCGGCGGCGAAGUUCAGGAUUUCCUCUCUGCAAACUUUUCUCAAUAUAGCCGCCCUUGGAUGCUGCUGAGGCGGUUAGUUAAUUUUGGACACAUUUUUCCCUUAGAGAGAGAGAGAGAAUAAACCUCCAACGAUUUCUCUCUGCCCACCAUGCCAACAAACUUCUCCAACUUUUCAGAAGAUCGCGCGUCUUCUUCUGCUCAGAAGCAGCCCGUGGCACCUGCGCUAAUCCUUCGCGUACAUUUUCAGCUCUCAGUCCUGGUUCGUGAGAAACAAAGCAAAGCCUAGGAAAACGGAUGGUGCUCUAGCUGCGGGAAGAGAGAGGAAGGACGGCGAAAAGGCCUAAGAGGGACCUACCGGGCCGGCUCGGUUGGUGGAGGAAGCCUCUCCCCGGAAGAAGGUUCAGGAUUGCGAGAGCAGGCGCGGCGCGGCGGCGGCAGCAGAUGCGCCUGGGAGCCCAUUCUUCCUCGCCUUUCCCCCCUCCGCCUCCCCGCCCCCCAUUGAUUGAAAGUCUCUCAACUCCAACAAGAAACGGAAGAUGAAGAUGAAGAAGAGGAGGACACGGAAAUAAUAAGUCUCUGGACCUGUUCAUCAGGAAUCCUCAUACUGCGGCCUUUUUACACUGGAAAGGCGAGAGAGAUCUGUGGAACUCCCUGCCCAUUGAUGUACUACUUUCACGCCGCUUUGGAAAGCAAUUCCGCUCUUUUCCAGAGCUGCUCUCAGCCUCCGGUUUGGGUUUUAGCCCCAAUGGAUCGGAAUCCAGAAUUGCAAGACUUCACGGCGCUGCUAAGGAAAUCUGUCUGAUCUUCGGCGAGAGGGAGGUGUUCGGCCGCAGGGGGGACCUCAGAGCGCUCCAGAUUUUUCUGGAUUCCGAAUGUCCUCGCGACCCUACGCUCCAGAACUCCGCGCCGCCCUCCUUUGAUCUGGAACCCUCCCGGCGCCUCCCUGGUCUAAGUUAGAGACCUGCGUUCCAUCCUCAGGCGGCGCACCGCGGAGGGAGCCCCACAGCCGAGCGUCUCUCCCGGCCUCCUCCCCACGUGCCGGGUGGCCCCUGGACUUCACACCCUUCAGGCAGGAGCAGCGGCCGCCACGUCCCCGCAAAAAAGUAGUUCCAGCACAAUGUUUGUUAACUAGGUUAUCUAGGCCGUAGAAGAUUUUAAUGUUGAAUUUUAUAGCUUUACCACGCUCUACCGUCCUUGUGAAUAUUGUAAUAUUGCAUUUUUUACAAGUUACUCUUCUGUUAAUGUUCCAGCUAGUAACUUUUAUAAUCCUCCUCAAUGAAAUUUUUUUGUAUUCUUCCGCACCGUUAACCUCAAUGGCGGCACCUCAGCCCCUGGCAGGAGGCAGAGAGAUGAAAUGAAUUCCUCUUUAAUCAGAAAUAAUAAUAAUAAUAAAAACACACACAAGGCUC